rnacentral:rRNA from 1 species
CUCGUAGGCGGCUUGUCACGUCUGCUGUGAAAACGCGGGGCUUAACUCCGCGCGUGCAGUGGGUACGGGCAGGCUAGAGUGUGGUAGGGGAGACUGGAAUUCCCGGUGUAGCGGUGAAAUGCGCAGAUAUCAGGAGGAACACCGAUGGCGAAGGCAGGUCUCUGGGCCACUACUGACGCUGAGAAGCGAAAGCGUGGGGAGCGAACA